rfam:Homo sapiens chromosome 3, GRCh38 reference primary assembly.
GCUAGGCAUGGUGGCACAUGCCUGUAAUCCCAGCUACUAGGGAGGCUGAGGCAGGAGGAUCACUUGAGCCCAGGAGGUCUAGGCUGAAGUGAGCUAUGAUUGCACCACUGCACUCCAGCCUGGGUGACAGAGUGAGACCCUGUCUCAA